rnacentral:rRNA from 1 species
UACGGAAGGCAGCAGUGGGGAAUAUUGCACAAUGGGCGCAAGCCUGAUGCAGCCAUGCCGCGUGUAUGAAGAAGGCCUUCGGGUUGUAAAGUACUUUCAGUCGUGAGGAAGGUGUUAAGGUUAAUAACCUUAGCAAUUGACGUUAGCGACAGAAGAAGCACCGGCUAACUCCGUGCCAGCAGCCGCGGUAAUACGGAGGGUGCGAGCGUUAAUCGGAAUUACUGGGCGUAAAGGGCACGCAGGCGGUUAAUUAAGUUGGAUGUGAAAUCCCCGGGCUUAACCUGGGAAUGGCAUUCAAGACUGGUUAGCUAGAGUCUUGUAGAGGGGGUAGAAUUCCAUGUGUAGCGGUGAAAUGCGUAGAGAUGUGGAGGAAUACCGGUGGCGAAGGCGGCCCCGUGGACAAAGACUGACGCUCAUGUGCGAAAGCGUGGGGAGCAAACGAGGGAUUAGAUACC